UAGUACAAUGUACUGUGAAUUCUUCUUC
rnacentral:piRNA from 1 species